rnacentral:piRNA from 1 species
CAGCAGGAACCUGAGAAGGGUAUGUUU